GAUGAACGCUGGCGGCGUGCCUAAUACAUGCAAGUCGAGCGAACAGACGAGGAGCUUGCUCCCCUGACGUUAUCGGCGGACGGGUGAGUAACACGUGGAUAACCUACCUAUACGACUGGGAUAACUUCGGGAAACCGGAGCUAAUACCGGAUAAUAUAUUGAACCGCAUGGUUCACUAGUGAAAUACGGUUUUGCUUUCACUUAUAGAUUGAUCCGCGCCGCAUUAGCUAGUUGGUAAGGUAACGGCUUACCAAGGCAACGAUGCGUAGCCGACCUGAGAGGGUGAUCGGCCACACUGGAACUGAGACACGGCCCAGACUCCUACGGGAGGCAGCAGUAGGGAAUCUUCCGCGAUGGGCGAAAGGCGGACGGAGCAACGUCGCGUGAGGGAUGAAGGUCUUCGGAUCGUAAAACUCUGUUAGUAGGGAAGAACAAAUGUGUAAGUAACUAUGCACGUCUUGACGGUACCUAAUCAGAAAGCCACGGCUAACUACGUG
rnacentral:rRNA from 1 species